GGGUUGUGAGGUUAAGCGACUAAGCGUACACGGUGGAUGCCCUGGCAGUCAGAGGCGAUGAAGGGCGUGCUAAUCUGCGAUAAGCGCCGGUAAGGUGAUAUGAACCGUUAUAACCGGCGAUACCCGAAUGGGGAAACCCAGUGUGACUCGUCACACUAUCAUUAACUGAAUCCAUAGGUUAAUGAGGCGAACCGGGGGAACUGAAACAUCUAAGUACCCCGAGGAAAAGAAAUCAACCGAGAUUCCCCCAGUAGCGGCGAGCGAACGGGGAGGAGCCCAGAGCCUGAAUCAGCAUGUGUGUUAGUGGAAGCGUCUGGAAAGGCGCGCGAUACAGGGUGACAGCCCCGUACACAAAAGCGCAUGUGCUGUGAGCUCGAUGAGUAGGGCGGGACACGUGGUAUCCUGUCUGAAUAUGGGGGGACCAUCCUCCAAGGCUAAAUACUCCUGACUGACCGAUAGUGAACCAGUACCGUGAGGGAAAGGCGAAAAGAACCCCGGCGAGGGGAGUGAAAAAGAACCUGAAACCGUGUACGUACAAGCAGUGGGAGCACAGGUUUACCUGUGUGACUGCGUACCUUUUGUAUAAUGGGUCAGCGACUUAUAUUCUGUAGCAAGGUUAACCGUAUAGGGGAGCCGUAGGGAAACCGAGUCUUAAUUGGGCGUUAAGUUGCAGGGUAUAGACCCGAAACCCGGUGAUCUAGCCAUGGGCAGGUUGAAGGUUGGGUAACACUAACUGGAGGACCGAACCGACUAAUGUUGAAAAAUUAGCGGAUGACCUGUGGCUGGGGGUGAAAGGCCAAUCAAACCGGGAGAUAGCUGGUUCUCCCCGAAAGCUAUUUAGGUAGCGCCUCGUGAACUCAUCUCCGGGGGUAGAGCACUGUUUCGGCUAGGGGGCCAUCCCGGCUUACCAACCCGAUGCAAACUGCGAAUACCGGAGAAUGUUAUCACGGGAGACACACGGCGGGUGCUAACGUCCGUCGUGAAGAGGGAAACAACCCAGACCGCCAGCUAAGGUCCCAAAGUCAUGGUUAAGUGGGAAACGAUGUGGGAAGGCCCAGACAGCCAGGAUGUUGGCUUAGAAGCAGCCAUCAUUUAAAGAAAGCGUAAUAGCUCACUGGUCGAGUCGGCCUGCGCGGAAGAUGUAACGGGGCUAAACCAUGCACCGAAGCUGCGGCAGCGACGCUUAUGCGUUGUUGGGUAGGGGAGCGUUCUGUAAGCCUGUGAAGGUGGCCUGUGAGGGUUGCUGGAGGUAUCAGAAGUGCGAAUGCUGACAUAAGUAACGAUAAAGCGGGUGAAAAGCCCGCUCGCCGGAAGACCAAGGGUUCCUGUCCAACGUUAAUCGGGGCAGGGUGAGUCGACCCCUAAGGCGAGGCCGAAAGGCGUAGUCGAUGGGAAACGGGUUAAUAUUCCCGUACUUGGUGUUACUGCGAAGGGGGGACGGAGAAGGCUAUGUUGGCCGGGCGACGGUUGUCCCGGUUUAAGCGUGUAGGUGUGUGUUCCAGGUAAAUCCGGUUCACUUUAACACUGAGGCGUGAUGACGAGGCACUACGGUGCUGAAGCAACAAAUGCCCUGCUUCCAGGAAAAGCCUCUAAGCAUCAGGUAACAUCAAAUCGUACCCCAAACCGACACAGGUGGUCAGGUAGAGAAUACCAAGGCGCUUGAGAGAACUCGGGUGAAGGAACUAGGCAAAAUGGUGCCGUAACUUCGGGAGAAGGCACGCUGACACGUAGGUGAAGUGAUUUACUCACGGAGCUGAAGUCAGUCGAAGAUACCAGCUGGCUGCAACUGUUUAUUAAAAACACAGCACUGUGCAAACACGAAAGUGGACGUAUACGGUGUGACGCCUGCCCGGUGCCGGAAGGUUAAUUGAUGGGGUCAGCGCAAGCGAAGCUCCUGAUCGAAGCCCCGGUAAACGGCGGCCGUAACUAUAACGGUCCUAAGGUAGCGAAAUUCCUUGUCGGGUAAGUUCCGACCUGCACGAAUGGCGUAAUGAUGGCCAGGCUGUCUCCACCCGAGACUCAGUGAAAUUGAACUCGCUGUGAAGAUGCAGUGUACCCGCGGCAAGACGGAAAGACCCCGUGAACCUUUACUAUAGCUUGACACUGAACAUUGAGCCUUGAUGUGUAGGAUAGGUGGGAGGCUUUGAAGCGUGGACGCCAGUCUGCGUGGAGCCGACCUUGAAAUACCACCCUUUAAUGUUUGAUGUUCUAACGUGGACCCGUGAUCCGGGUUGCGGACAGUGUCUGGUGGGUAGUUUGACUGGGGCGGUCUCCUCCUAAAGAGUAACGGAGGAGCACGAAGGUUGGCUAAUCCUGGUCGGACAUCAGGAGGUUAGUGCAAUGGCAUAAGCCAGCUUGACUGCGAGCGUGACGGCGCGAGCAGGUGCGAAAGCAGGUCAUAGUGAUCCGGUGGUUCUGAAUGGAAGGGCCAUCGCUCAACGGAUAAAAGGUACUCCGGGGAUAACAGGCUGAUACCGCCCAAGAGUUCAUAUCGACGGCGGUGUUUGGCACCUCGAUGUCGGCUCAUCACAUCCUGGGGCUGAAGUAGGUCCCAAGGGUAUGGCUGUUCGCCAUUUAAAGUGGUACGCGAGCUGGGUUUAGAACGUCGUGAGACAGUUCGGUCCCUAUCUGCCGUGGGCGCUGGAGAACUGAGGGGGGCUGCUCCUAGUACGAGAGGACCGGAGUGGACGCAUCACUGGUGUUCGGGUUGUCAUGCCAAUGGCACUGCCCGGUAGCUAAAUGCGGAAGAGAUAAGUGCUGAAAGCAUCUAAGCACGAAACUUGCCCCGAGAUGAGUUCUCCCUGAGACUUAGAGUCUCCUGAAGGAACGUUGAAGACGACGACGUUGAUAGGCCGGGUGUGUAAGCGCAGCGAUGCGUUGAGCUAACCGGUACUAAUGAACCGUGAGGCUUAACCUUACAACGCCGAAG
rnacentral:rRNA from 1 species